rnacentral:lncRNA from 1 species
GUCUGCGUAUGGUCUGUGGCUUUGCUGGCUUUGACCCUUUUAGGACCCAGGGUACAGAGGCAGCAGCUGGAGAAUGUUGUUCCCAUCGUGGACGGCAGGAGCUCAAGAAAGGUUGCUUCCUUCGAGUUUUCCCUGUUAAGCUUCACCUUGGCGUGGUCCAUACGGAAGGCAGAAUCAACCCCACUCACAGGCCUCCACCAAGGCUGCUGCGGGUCUAUCAGCUUGUUCCCCGGGAGUUCAGGAGCCUCCUCAGACCUUCCCGAGGGUCCUCCAGCGAGUCCUCAGUCUCAGCUCUCACAGGUAAUAAGAUGGGGGGAGCAUGACCUUCGCAGCCGUGCCUGGACACUCACCAGCACAGGGACCAUUUCUGGACCUUAGCUCCUUCUCGAUGAAAUGGAAAUAAGAGCAGCACACGUCUCCGAGCGCCGAGGUGGAAAGCCAGUGCGUUCAAGCCGAGGGCAAGGCCUGGGUGAGUAGCACGUGUAUUUCAGCAGCUAGUAGCAUUGUCAUUUGGCCACGGGCUCUGUGCUGGGCAGGACGGCUCUUCCCUCACCCUCAGAGACUUCCCCACGUCCCUGCCCACCCUAGUUCCGGGUCUGGGUCGGCAGCAGAUUCAUGCCUGUGCCGCAGGGACCAGAUUGGGGUGGGUGGAUGACCGGUCCGAUGACCCAGGCCGAUGCGACCCCAGCCAUGGCUUGGAGGUGCCCAGCUGGGGACUCAGACUGACUCCCGUUGGACCCACUCUGGGGGGGAUUUAGGGCUGGAGCUGCCACAGCCAUCAUGUCCCCUGGGGAGCUGGCAUGUCAGGUGGAUGGAAGCCAGUUCCGGCGACACCAGAUGACUCCUGACCCCCUGCCAGGCCUGCACCCAGCUCUGUCCCUGCAGCUUUUGGUCACAUGGGCCUCCAAGUUCUCUUUUAGCUUAAGUCAACUUAAGGCAAAGUUUUUUCACGUUUUGGAAAAAUGUGGGUUUUGGAGUUCCCUGGUGGGGUUUUGGAGUUCCCUGGUGGCUCAGUGGGUUAAGGAUGCAGCAUUGUCACUGCUGUUGGGCGAGGUCAGUCCCUGGCCCGGGAACUUCCACAUGCUGCAGGGAAGGCCAAAAAAAGGCGGGGAGCUCAUUGGCACACCACAUGCCCUGAAGACUGAACCUCAAAGACGAUGCAAAGAACUCGGAGAUCAUACUACAAGGAAACAGCAGGAGCCCACCUUGAACCCACGGUACCUGACAUCUACUUCAUGCACUCCAGACACUCCAGAAGGCUCCAAAAGAGAGGUCGAGAUACUCCCCAUGGGAGACCCACAAACAAAAGGCAGGCGUCAGGGAGGGAUCCUGGAAGCAGUGGCAAUUGCAUUAGCCACUGGCUUUUAGGGAAUGCUUAUUAGAUGCCAGUCCCUGUGCUCAGGACCUUGCACAGGACCUGAGCCUGGGAGUGAGCAAGCUGUGGGCAUGGAGAAAUGGGGGCAGGGUGGUGAUCAUGUUUAAAGAUUGCAAAAGAGUGUCCGUGUGCCUCGAAGCCCUGGGGAGGCAGCAGUGACUCAAAGCUGGAACCGGGCCCGCUUCGGCGGCAGCGGCAGCCAGAUUCGGAGCACAGACAGGACACUUUGGUGCACCCAGGAUUUCAUGGCUUCCCUGUGUUUAUCCAGAAUUCCACCCCAGCAAGAUUUGCCAAGUUCCACCUGGGUUCGAGGACCCGCACAUCUCUCCACCCUGCUUCCACCCAGUUCCAGCUCCGGAGGACGUAGGCUAAUGGUCGAGCAAGAUAACCACCCUGGGAACCGAGGGAGGGGCCCGUUGGACGAGUGAGUGUAAGAGCUGCCUUAUUGCAACACCGCAGCCAGCCACCCUGCCCCUUUCAAAGGCAUAUUUUCUGGGACACUUGGCAGGACAUUCUGUGUGCCUUGGAACUUCAAAAAAUGAGGUGAGAGAGUUCCCAUUAUGGCUCAACAGGUGAAGAAUCCGAGGUUGUUUCUGUGAGGAUGUGGGUUCAAUCCCUGGCCUUGUUCAGUGGGUUAAGGAUCCAGCAUCGCCGCAAGCUGUGGUGGAGGUGGCAGACGCGGCUCAGACCCAGUGUUGCCAUGGCUGUGGCGUAGGCCUCAGCUGCAGCUCCAACUUGACCCCUAGCCUGGGAACUUCCAUAUGCUGCAGGUGCGGCCCUUAAAAAAGAAGAAGAAAAUAAGAAAAAAAAGAAAAAAAGGGAGGGGGAAAG